rfam:Trichobilharzia regenti genome assembly, scaffold: TRE_scaffold0006628
AUACAUCUGAAGAGUCCCAAACUAGGACGAAACAGCUGUCCAGUAU